UGCAAAAUCUGUGCUCUGGGUUGAC
rnacentral:piRNA from 1 species